CCGCUUGCUUAAUAAAUUCUUGUUAAUUGAUUUAUCUAUAAUUAGCCUCCCCAAUUGACUUUGUCCAUAACAAAUUUGGUGCCGUGACUCGGAUAAGGGCAAACGGGCAGGAAUUCCUAAUCAGGGAGGCGCCCCGCUGCCUUUUCAGCGGCCCUGGUGCAGGCUUUUCCUUCUCGGGCCCUUACCGACGAACCUAAAUUCGGUAUUAAGCAAAAGGGAUACCGGUAACCCCGUAAUCUUUGUGCACGAAGCCCGGGCGAAGACGCAGGACAGCAAACUGCAGUCAGAACCGCCGAGAAGGGAUGGACACAUGCGAGCCGAAUAAAGGGACCGAUUACUGCUGCUGCUGCCGAAGACCCCUGGAGAAUAACCAGCCAACCCGGAGAUCUUAAGGUCACAUUUAAACGGACUUAAUGGACUCAGUAAAAAUUGUACAAACCA